rnacentral:piRNA from 1 species
GACUUUGAACCUGACAUCCAAGUGAAUGC